rnacentral:lncRNA from 1 species
CAAUAAUAUGGAUUAGAUCAAUUAACCCAUCAAUUGAUUUUAUCAUCAAAAUCCAAGAUUCAACAUAGGAAUCCUAUUAGGAGUUAGGGUUUAGAAGCCCUAUAAAUAGCCAUAUAUUCCUCCUCUUUUCAUAAGCAAUAGAUGAAUCUUUUAUGCAGCCUUUGAGCAGUAACUUGGAGGGAGGAACCCCUAUAGAGUUCCAAGGAGGCCGAUCCCCUAAAGAGAUCAACCACAAGUUUAGAAUCUGCAAGGGUUCUAACACCUAGUAUCAGAGCAGCGUUCUUGGCAUCUCGCUGCCCUUCCAUAACCAUCCAUCAGCCCUCCACAGCCGCCCAAAGCAAUUCCCACAAUUGCUUAAAAAUCGUCGCCAAAUUCCACCAUCAUCUCCACCACCGCGGAUCAUCCAGUGAAUUGCAACAGGUUCUGGUUCCCUACCUUACUACUGCUGCAAUUUAGUUAUCCCCAUCCGAAAAUCCAAAAAAAA